GAAAGAUCCGGUGAACUGAAGAUUAAAGCGAUCGAAGGCAGCGUGGAGGGGAGUGGUGGUACAUUGAUGUGAACCCCAAGAGUCAUUAAUUGAAUCAUGUUUAGUUGGAAUAAAUGUUUUCAACAUUUGAAUUAUUUGAAUUAGUAUUCGUUUUUGAAAGCUUAAAGACGGAAGUUUGAUUGAAAUUUAUUCAUGUUUGGUAGGAUAUUCUAUGGUGGUUUAUUUAAUCCAUACGAACAACAAUGUUAGGAAUUUGGAUCCUUUCAGUUUCUGAUCUCUGUUCAAAAAUUCGCCUAGACCAAAUUUCUUGAAAUUUUGAGUUGAUUCCAGAUGGAGUGGAUAGCCAUAUGAGUUAUCUAUCUCUCGAAUUUGAAAUCACAAAUUUUGGUUGUGUAAAACUCAAGUUAUGGAUGUUUUUCCCAGAGCUGACAGAAUGCAUCCGGGAAUAACUAGAUCCGGGUUUGAUAAUAAAUUUGACCAAUCUGCCCAUUGAAUUUAUGCACGAAAUUUUAACCUAUAAUUCUCCUAUGUGUCAAGUGUCUGUAGUUUAAAUUUUGUAAUUUUUGGAUCCUAUUUAGUUGUCGAACGAAAUUUAUUUCAGAAAGUGGCGCAAGCUGAAAAAAAAAAAAAAACUUUUCGAAGGAACAAUUCUCAUUGAUUUAACAUUUUAAGAGUUCCUUACGGGAGUUUAGAAGCACUUAUCACACGUGUGCAUAUUUUUUUUACUCAUUCCUCUUUGUGUUUUACAUGAUUAUUACUUGUCAUUUCUUUAUUAUUCGUGAUAUAAAGGGGAGAGAUGUGUAUUUAUUUCAAAGAGUUGAUUAUAUGAGUUAGGGAAGAAUUUUAAAAAUUAAAAUUUUUUUAUUGAUAAAUGAGUUAGGGGGAAUCAAUUGAUAUAUUUGCUGGAGAUCGAUUGUUAAACCCUCAAAAACCCUCAUUCGGUUCACAGAUUCCAAUUGAACUGGAUGGUUCACAGAAAUUUUUGACGGUUUCAUUUCAAUCGAUUUUUACCCUAGUGGAUUUCUAUCUGGUUCUCAUUUUUUCGGUCAGUUCGAUUUUCAAAACAUUGUUUGGGAGUUAUUUUUAUUUGAAUGAGAGCAUUUAGGGAAUGUUGAUAUAUCUAUUUCAACCAAAAUUCUUAUGUCUAAUGAGAUGAAAUUGGAAUUUCUUGACACCACGCUUGACUGCUAACAUUUCUUUGAAAGUGGAAUGGUAAUGUUUUUCUGCUCUUGAGAAUUAUUCACGAUUUUAUCCACAAAUAUUUCUUUUUCCGUCUUUUUCCUCCAAGAGAACUGUUGUCCAGUACAGAUCACUUGCAUCAGUUUAUAAGAUCCACUUUCUAUAAAUGGGACCUACAAGUACUUCCCACUUCCUUGGCACUCAUUUCUAUCCUUCUUGGGAAAAACUAAACUAACAGGGAUAACAUGACAUUUGAAUUGUCUAUUUUUUCUUCGAAGGUAAUUUCAAUUAUAAACAAGCAAUCUCUCAAUAUCAAUAAAAACCUAAUUCCAACAAACAACAUAUCAGGAAUUUAAGGGUAGUGCCCACAAGAUAAGCAACAAACCUUCCUUUAAGAGAAGAUUAUAGACUACAUCUAGGCAUCUUGAUGUACAUAUAUAUAUAUAAACUCCUCUCAUUACAGGGCAUCUCCAAAAAUCUCGUCUUUUGUGGUUUGUAAUUUAAUGAUAUGAAAUCAACUAUUGUGAGUUGAUGUCAAGGUGAUGUCAAGGUUUGAUAGGCUGACAUUGGAUUUGGAAUGGACUCUGUUAAAUUUUGGCUAAACGUGAGCUUUUCACUCCAACUUUUUAUUUUGAUCGUUUUAAAUAUACGAUAUAUACAAAUGAUCAUAGUAGUUGUCAAGGUUUAACGGAUCAACAUCAGGUCUAAAAGUGGAUUUCGCUAAUGUAGUGAUCAAUUAUUUAACAUUAUUUAAUUUUAGCUAUUAAACGGAUCGCAAGACUAAUUUUAAAUCACACAAGUUUCAGGGACCAUUUGCGAAAAUAUCUCGUUAGAAAUAUUCCAAAAAGAUUACGAUCAUUUAGUGCUAUCUCUCUCAAAUUCGCUCAACCCAUACUAAUUUAAGGUCCGCUAGGACUAAAGUACUACGCCCAGAAAAAUCAGGGGGAAACAUGAGCCCAAUUCCCGCCCCCAAUUCCAACCCUAGCUGUAUAAAAAAAUUUCUCCCAUUUCCUGAAGUUACACGCCAUAUCCAUUUUAGGCUGCAGAUCCGGGAACCGGAGAAUUCGCCAUUGGGAGAAACAUUUGAAAAUAAGGGUUCGGAGGUUAGGUUUUUACAGAGUUUCUGGACCUCGACAUCUCCAUAGUACUCUGAUGGGAAAAAAUAAGCCAGGCCAUCAGCAUAAAUGUUGUGGUUUACAUAGCUUGCGGCUUCGUUGUGGUGCUCCGAGGAUAACAGCAGUUCGGCCAUGUCGUCCCCCUAGGGCGAUCCUUACAACUUGAGGACGACUUCAUUUGUAAAGUUAGUCAACAUGGCUAGAGAGAGAAAUUUGAGGAGAAUAGAACCUAAAGAGGAUGAUGAUGGUGAGCAGACUGAGCUGGAGGACACAAAGGAUGAAGAAGGCAAUGACACUGAGGCUCCGCAUUCAAAAUUUGCUGGUAAAAAGAAAGGAAAGGCCAAGAAAGAUGGAAGCAAUAAUGCAUUCAGUGCUUCAAGUUUGGUUUACUUGGAGAAGGAGAUGAUGAGGAUAAUGAAGAUUCAGGAAUAACAAAGAGAAUGUUGAUUAUGAAAAAUCAGGAUAAUGAAGUAGCAGCUUCUUAAAGUUGGAAAGGAUGAGAGAGCACUGAAAGUGGCGAAGAAGAAGUUGGGCACCCACAAGAGAGCAAAGAAGCGUGAAGAGAUGGCAUAUUUUUUCCGGAAUAUGAGUUUGAACAAUACAGGGGCUGCUGGAGGUGGAGAAAAUAAGUAAACUGCUGCACUUGGAUUCCUUAGGAGAGUUUCGCGGUUUACAACAAAUCAGAGAAAAGAUUUGAGUUGUUUAGCCCCUUUAUUUAGUUAAACUGGAGAUUGUAAUUUUGAUUUGACCGUUUGGAGAAGUUCGCUGAUGAGACUUGUUUUUUAUUGAAGGUUUUGCUAACCGUAUUUCUUUUGCUUGAAAUUCAAGAACUUUUUGAGCAGUUUGUAUAUCAAGUUACAUGCUCAUUUGUCAGAGUAAUGCUAUUUAUUUAGAUUUUAGGCGGCAUUGAAAGA